AAAGAAAAUAACAAUGAUUCCCUCAGUAACGGCGAGCGAAGAGGGAUAAGCUCAAAUUUUAAAUCUGUUGGGUUCCACUUAACAGAGUUGUAUUUUGAAGAAACGUUUUCUGCAUCCAGGAUUAGCCUAAAUCCUUUGGGAUAAGGUAUCAUGGAGGGUGAGAAUCCCGUUCAUGGUUAAUCUUAAGGAAGCUCUACGAUACGUUUUCCAAGAGUCGAGUUGUUUGGGAUUGCAGCUCAAAAUGGGAGGUAAAUUUCUCCUAAGGCUAAAUAUUGGCGAGAGACCGAUAGCGAGCAAGUACCGUGAGGGAAAGAUGAAAAGAACUUUGAAAAGAGAGUUAAACAGUACGUGAAAUUGUUGAAAGGGAAACGAUUGAAG
rnacentral:rRNA from 1 species